ACCCGCCUGGCCCAACAGUGACAGAGCAGGGCGCGCAGCCGCUGAGUGCUCUGGAGUCCCUGCCCCGAGGUGCCACGCCCACGUCGGCCUCACCCGGGCAGGCAUGGGGCGGUCGGGCUUAGCGCCGCACCCCGCCGGCCAGAGCCACCGUCUCUCCAGACGCGGCCCCAGCGCCCACUGGGGAUGGCAAAGACGACAUCCGGUGCGCCGAGGCUGCUCACAAAAUCUUCCCACACAGGUUGAGAGAGGAGGGGAUCCAAUUGCCUGUGAGGAGGACACGGCUCCUGGGUGGACCCUGCAGAUUGUGAAGUUCAAGUCACAGCUCCUGGGAAGGUCUCUGUGUGUAAAGAUCGUGGGGGUGAGACAGAUUCAGGGACCACACUCUGCUCUGCUCUGUACCUCUGAGUGUCGAUCCAGCUGCCUUGUGACCAGGACACUUAGAAGAAGCAUGGACCCUGCAAGAGGAUGGGCUCAAGGACAGCUUGCCUGACUGCAGCCAUAAGGAUGAAGCCUCUUCAGGUCAUUUGGCCAAUUUAAUGCCGACAGAAGAGGCCACCAUCUGAAUGUAAUUUAUCUCCUCUUUCAUCUCCUUUCAUUCCCCUCCUCCUUUUUUUUUUUUUUUUGGGACAGAGUCUCACUCUGUUGCCCAGGCUGGAGUGCAGUGGCGUGAUCUUGGCUCACUGCAAGCUCUGCCUCCCAGGUUCACGCCAUUCUCCUGCCUCAGCCUCCUGAGUAGCUGGGACUACAGGCACCCGCCACCACGCCCAGCUAAUUUUUUGUGUUUUUAGUAGAGACGAGGUUUAGCGUGUCUAUGUGACACCCCAGGAUUUUAGCAGAUACACAAGUGAAAAACCAUGUUGCUAAAAAGUAUUUCCCAUCUUCCAAUUUUCUUAUCAUCAUCUUGGAAAUAAAAUCUGUACGUACUUGGGAAUAAAAUUUAUUGAAUUAUCAAAAAUAUGUAUGCUAAUGUAUGUGAGUCAUUAGCUAUAUCCACAUUGACAUAAAAUUUGUGAAGACUCUUCAAAAUCUCUUAAAGAUUUAUUUGGCUGGGCGCGGUGGCUCACGCCUGUAAUCCCAGCAGUUUGGGAGGCUGAGGCAGGCGGAUCAUGAGGUCAGGAGAUGGAGACCAUCCUGGCUAACACGGUGAAACCCCGUCUCUACUAAAAAUACAAAAAACUAGCUGGGCGUGGUGGCGCGCGCCUGUAGUCCCAGCUACUCGGGAGGCUGAGGCAGGAGAAUGGCGUGAACCCGGGAGGCGGAGCUCGGA
rnacentral:lncRNA from 1 species